rnacentral:rRNA from 1 species
AUGAAGUGGCGCCAAGCUUCUGGCAUUCUCUGUGACAAGAGAGUGCCACAAAAGCUAAAAGGCAAGUUCUACAGGACGGCGGUUCGAUCCGCAAUGCUGUAUGGUGCUGAGUGUUGGCCGACUAAAAGGCGACAUGUUCAACAGUUAGGUGUGGCGGAGAUGCGUAUGUUGAGAUGGAUGUGUGGCCACACGAGGAAGGAUCGAGUCCGGAAUUAUGAUAUACGAGAUAGAGUUGGGGUAGCACCAAUUGAAGAGAAGCUUGUCCAACAUCGUUUGAGAUGGUUUGGGCAUAUUCAGCGCAGGCCUCCAAAAGCUCCAGUGCAUAGCGGACGGCUAAAGCGUGCGGAGAAUGUCAAGAGAGGGCGGGGUAGACCGAAUUUGACAUGGGAGGAGUCCGUUAAGAGAGACCUGAAGGAUUGGAGUAUCACCAAAGAGCUAGCUUUGGACAGGGGUGCGUGGAAGCUUGCUAUCCAUGUGCCAGAGCCAUGA